rnacentral:rRNA from 1 species
GACGAACGCUGGCGGCGCGCCUAACACAUGCAAGUCGAACGAGCGAGAGAGAGCUUGCUUUCUUGAGCGAGUGGCGAACGGGUGCGUAACGCGUGAGGAACCUGCCUCAAAGAGGGGGACAACAGUUGGAAACGACUGCUAAUACCGCAUAAGCUCACGACUCGGCAUCGGGUUGAGGGAAAAGGAGCAAUCCGCGUUGGGAUGGCCUCGCGUCCGAUUAGCUAGUUGGUGAGGUAACGGCCCACCAAGGCGACGAUCGGUAGCCGGACUGAGAGGUUGAACGGCCACAUUGGGACUGAGACACGGCCCAGACUCCUGCGGGAGGCAGCAGUGGGGGAUAUUGCACAAUGGGGGAAACGCUGAUGCAGCGACGCCGCGCGGAGGAAGAAGGUCUGCGGAUAGUAAACUCCUGUUGUUGAGGAAGAUAAUGACGGUACUCAACAAGGAAGUGACGGCUAACUACGUG